CUUAAAGGAAUUGACGGGGCCGCACAAGCGGUGGAGCAUGUGGUUAAUUCGACGCAACGCGAAGAACCUUACCAGGGCUUGACAUCCCCUGACCGCGUAUGAAAGUACGUUUUCACCCUCGGGUGACAGGGAGACAGGUGGUGCAUGGUUGUCGUCAGCUCGUGUCGUGAGAUGUUGGGUUAAGUCCCGCAACGAGCGCAACCCCUACGUUUAGUUGCUAACGCGUGAAGGCGAGCACUCUAGACGAACUGCCGCUGACAAAACGGAGGAAGGUGGGAUGACGUCAAAUCAUCAUGCCCCUUAUGUUCUGGGCUACACACGUGCUACAAUGGCCGGUACAGACGGACGCAAAGCCGCGAGGUGGAGCAAAUCCUAAAAAGCCGGUCUCAGUUCGGAUUGCAGGCUGCAAUUCGCCUGCAUGAAGUCGGAAUCGCUAGUAAUCGCAGGUCAGCAUACUGCGGUGAAUACGUUCCCGGGCCUU
rnacentral:rRNA from 1 species